UGUCCAGCAACUCCUGUCCCUACCUCCAAGUGGCACCGGCUGGACUGCGAGCAACCUUGGGGAAGAUCGGGUAACCAACCCCAGUGAGAACUUUGGUCGUAGGCUGACAGGGAAGC
rfam:Aedes albopictus isolate Foshan contig11589, whole genome shotgun sequence.